ACGGGAGGCAGCAGUGGGGAAUAUUGCACAAUGGGGGAAACCCUGAUGCAGCGACGCCGCGUGGAGGAAGAAGGUUUUCGGAUUGUAAACUCCUGUCGUUAGGGACGAUAAUGACGGUACCUAACAAGAAAGCACCGGCUAACUACGUGCCAGCAGCCGCGGUAAAACGUAGGGUGCAAGCGUUGUCCGGAAUUACUGGGUGUAAAGGGAGCGCAGGCGGGAAGACAAGUUGGAAGUGAAAACCAUGGGCUCAACCCAUGAAUUGCUUUCAAAACUGUUUUUCUUGAGUAGUGCAGAGGUAGAUGGAAUUCCCGGUGUAGCGGUGGAAUGCGUAGAUAUCGGGAGGAACACCAGUGGCGAAGGCGGUCUACUGGGCACCAACUGACGCUGAGGCUCGAAAGCAUGGGUAGCAAACAGGAUUAGAUACCCUGGUA
rnacentral:rRNA from 1 species